CAGUUGGUUGAAAGUUGAAGCUCGUGUACGACGCUACUGCAGUGACCUCUCCCUCUUGCGUUCUCUGACGAUCUCCUCCAACGACGAUCUUCUCCGAUGACAUCUCCUCCCGCGACAGCUUCUCUAGCGGCGAUCUCCUCCGGUGACGGCCCCUCCAGCUUCCUCUCCUUGCCGUCCCCUGUGUCUUCUCCGCCAAAAUCUCAGCGCGUCCCUUUCUUUCUGGAUCGGUAAGGUCGGCUUGCCUCUUUUAGGUCGUAUGCAAGGAUUCAUCGCGAGUGGUUCCACUGUUUGCGUAGCAAGAUCAACAGCAACAACAAGAAUAAGAAGAGGUGGCUGCUCUUGUUCCUAAAGGGGAGCUUGAUGGUGAAAUGGGGGAUGCACACAUGGCAAUGCAGGCUAGGUUGAUGAGCCAGGUGCUUUGGAAAUUAAGCCACUCCUUAUCAGUUUCUCAAUGUAUAUUGAUUUUUAUAAACCAGAUUUAGUUCUGUUACUGAGCGUUUUUCAUGGAACUUAAUACCCGUCGAAUUGACACCAGUGCAGCAAGAAGUGAAACCCUCAGUAUCAUUAAUGGCAUGCGAUACCUGAAGCUUGGGGUGAAAACUGAAGGUGCAUUGAACAACAGGUGAAUGAUUUUGUAUAUAUUUGGGGACCCUCCUUCCACUUGCAGGGUCAGUUUAAGACAGCUGAGAGAGACAUAAGAAAUUGGAGGCCUUCUUAAGCAGAUGUAAAGCUUGUUUAGGAACCUGAGACUCCAAAGCUUGGGGGGGAGCUGCCACCUCACAAGUGUCUACCAUUUCAGCUGAGAUUUGACAAGAUCGUCAAUAAAGAAAUUCCUUCUACUGUGGUUUAUGUCUUUCAAACUCAAAGGGAGGUUUUUCUUUACUUAACACCCUGUAUCUUACUGCAUGUAUGCUGUAUUUCCAUGCUAGAAAUAGUAUUAUAAUUUGUGCAAGCAUUCAUUGAGGAACUUGUGUUUUUAAUUUCUUGGAACCGUUAAGUUUAGUGAAUGAUAACAUCUUGGACACCUAAGCUUUCAUUUACGUGAUAAAUAAUAAUAUGAAACCAAAUUCAGCACUUUUGAUUCUUGUCAUUUUUAUACAGCAUAGAUAUCAUGGCCUAUUUUUGUGUUCUGUUCCAUAUAGUUACUGCCUAAUUGUGAUUAGUACUUUUAAUUUAGUCUUAUCAUUAGGGACAUCUUAUAUAAAGCUAUAACUAUAUAUGAAAUUAAUUUCAUUCUUUAUGCUUGUGUGGUUUCUCUUACCAAGUAUAUAUAAGCUUUUAACAUGCUUUAACAUGAUUUUGUUUUAUUUGUAGAAGAUACAAAUCUCGUGUCAAUAGCAUUAAUUACCAUUUUCAAUAAUCUCGAUUGUUUGGUUCUUUUUUUUGUCAAACAGGCAAUGUCAUGAAUUGAAACCUAUCUCGACGUUUGAUAUCUGCAUAUAUAAAACUUUGAUGAUUGAAUAAUUUUAAAUUAAUAGUUUCAGAUUCAGUUUUGUAUCCUUUUUUAUUGUGCUCAUAAUUAUAUUUUUGUUGUAGGGAUUGCAUCAAGAGAGUGAAAUUUCAUCACCAAAAGAGUUAGAAGUAGGUCUUCUGGAGUGAGCAACAAAGAAGCAUGAUCUUGCAUGAUAAAGAUUUUAUGUAUUAAGUAUAUAUAUAUAUGUAUAUAUAUAUAUAUAUAUGUAUAUAUAUAUAUAUGUAUAUAUAUAGUUGAAUUAUUGAAAAAUGUUAUCUUUGAUGCUUUGUUUUUGGAUUAUGAUUCUUGAUUUUCGGAGACCAUGU